rnacentral:lncRNA from 7 species
CGGCGUCCAUGCAGGGUGUGGAAUGGAUCCAGUUUGUCCCAGUUCGGAAAUCGGAAUCGGAAUAGUGAACACAGAUGAGAUGAAGUUCCCGGAUCUGUACGUAAUAUGAGCGUUCCCUUCCUGUAAUUCUGUGUAGUGUAGGAGGCUUACCUGCUCUGUAAGCUUCCUUGUAUUGUUCUACAAAGGCUUUAAUACAUUAUACAGUCAGGUAUUAUCAAGAAAACAAGAAGAAAAGAAACGGAUGGCUACUUUUAAAUUAAGUUAACCCAUGAAUAUAAUCCUGUGGAAAUGAAUUAAAUCUGUGUCCUGUUAUUUCACAAUUUCACUUCGUGAUUGCCGUCAGCAGGGACGUCCGUUUGUUUUAGUCUUUGUGUGCAGGGAAUUUGAAAGUUGAAGAUACCCGUGAGGUCUGUCUUUUUCCUUGAUGAUGAUAAAGGGUGUAACAGUCUCAGUCUGGAUAUGGUUUCGACAGGCAUGUUCUGCCAAGCAAUAAUUAGGACAAGUGAUCGAUAUUGGUGGUGCAUAGUUUAUGAUAUACUCUCUCCGUUUUCAAAAUAGUGGUCGUUUUACCUCAAAAAAUUAUGUCUAUAUUUAUAUGGACGAUUAUAAAUCUAAACAUAUAUAUAUAACACAUACAUUAA